CCUACGGGAGGCAGCAGUGAGGAAUAUUGGUCAAUGGGCGGGAGCCUGAACCAGCCAAGUCGCGUGAGGGAAGACGGUCCUAUGGAUUGUAAACCUCUUUUGGCGGGGAGCAAUGCAGGGCACGCGUGCCCGGCGGGAGAGUACCCGCAGAAUAAGCAUCGGCUAACUCAGUCCCAGCAGCCGCGGUAAUACGGAGGAUGCGAGCGUAACCCGGAUUUAUUGGGUUAAAGGGGUGCGAAGGCGGAUUUUUAAGUCAGCGGUAAAAUGUAGGGGCUCAACCCCUGCCGGCCGUUGAAACUGGGGAUCUUGAGUGGGUGAGAAGUAUGCGGAAUGCGUGGUGUAGCGGUGAAAUGCAUAGAUAUCACGCAGAACUCCGAUUGCGAAGGCAGCAUACCGGCGCCCGACUGACGCUGAGGCACGAAAGCGUGGGGAUCGAACAGGAUUAGAUACCCGAGUAGUC
rnacentral:rRNA from 1 species